rnacentral:lncRNA from 1 species
UAUCAACACAGCUGCCAUGUGGGUGGACUUAAUUGACUUGAUAUUGGACACGUGUUUUGGGAAGCAUAAAAGUAUUAUUUAUCAUCUAGUUAUUCCUAUGUACUUGCUUACUUUGCUGAACAUUGAAUCAAUUAACAGUAUCUUGCAUAUCCCACAACUCUUUGUAUUAGGUCUAGGUUCUUUAUUGUUAUGGAUCUAUUGGAAAACUGUAGUAUUCCUUCUUUUGAACUGUGAUAAGUACAAUUCUUGCUAACUUCACUAAUAAUCUCUUGACAUAUGGAAUGCCAUGAGGUGGAUAGAAAUUGCUUGGCCAGAGCAUUCUCAUUAGGAAUGAUGAUAUCAACAGAAGUGCAUAUUGCAUAAAAACUCCAGACUUAGAAAAAGCUGCACUGCACCAUUAAUCUAGUCUGUAAGGUCUGCACUGCACUUUUUAAGAUGCUUCUGCAGAUCUUGCAGACUAGGUUAUCAAAUUUACUGCCAAGAAUCUAUGGACCAAGAAUUCUUCCCUAAGAAUAUUAAGUUCAUUCAUCACAUCUUCCUUCUCCAUAUGUAGUUUAUAGGCUAGCCAAAUGCGUGUAAAGAUGCUAAUGUCCUUAUAUUUUGCCAUGUCAUUAGAAACUUUGUGAAUUAAGGUGAGCCUGCCAUUGGGUUUUUUUAAAUAUAGAGAUAGAAAAUACAUUAGUUUUUAGAUAUGUACAUCAAAAAAUAAAGUGCAUUCAGUCCUUAUCCAACUGUUUGAGCUAUAUGGUUAACCCAUAUGGGUUUGUGUUAAUAUUGAAAGUAAUAUCAUUGCCAACUUGUUUAUUAUCAACAAUCAUAAAAACAUUGUCAGUGUAGUGGACUUAGAACUUGACAGUCCUUGAUGGAGAGGAUAGCAGUUUCUUUGCAUUUCCUUAAUAAGUUUUUGGCUAGCUCGCCAGUGAUAAAGGAACCCAUAAGGCAGAGAUGGCAAACAUAUGUCACACAUAUCCAAAAUGGCAUGCUGGAAAAUUUUUUGGACAUGCAAAACUUGGAGCUGAUAUAUUGUUUAAAAUUCAAAUUGGUAUGCGAAAGAUAGUUUUACAAAAAUUUAUCCAAUUUUGGCACACAUCCUUAAAAAGGGAGUUUGCCAUCUCUGCCAUAGGGACAUCUUUAGUUUGUGUGAAGUAUUUACCAUCAUACUAUAAUGGGUGUUUUGCAAAUGAGAUUGGCAAAGUCAAACAGGAUUUUGAAUUCCACUGGUAUGGUAGAUGGAUGGCAGAGUAAAUGUUGGAGUUCAAGAUUGCAGUUUUCAAUAGGAGGUUUGAAUAGAGAGAUUUAAUAUCCAAUAUGAUUAGGAUAUCAUUUAGGUGCAAGCAAAUCCUUUCAAGUUUAUGUUUAAAAUUGAGCAAAUUAUUAAUGGUGUAGAUACCCAACAUUCUUGGCUUUAAUAAACUGGGCUAAUGAUUUCUCCAACUUUUAAAUUGGGACAAUAUACUAUUUGAUGAUAGGUCUGAUUUCUAAAGCAGGCAUAAUUAUAGCACUUAAUGAAACCGAACAAUCUCAGAGUGCAAAGUCGCUAAUUCUAUCGAAUAUCAAUAUCGAUGAUAAUGAUGAUAAUACUUAUACUUAAACCUAAUGGUUAACAUGACUCUGCAAAUCCAGAGUUCUGCCUGACAUCAGGUC